rnacentral:lncRNA from 1 species
AGGAGCCUUCCUUAGUGAGGCGGGCUCUCUGGUCAUAAUGGCCCCUGAUUCAAAUUCGGAGUGGAAGUAUGAUUGUAAGGGCAGGCCUUCAGAAACAAGACAGAUAUAUAGGAGCCGGCCUGGUGGCGCAGCAGUUAAGUGUGCACGUUCAGCUUCAGCGGCCUGGGGUUCACCGGUUUGGAUCCCGGGUGUGGACAUGGCACCGUUUAGCAAGCCAUGCUGGGGAGAAGACUAAUAGAGCAGAUACUACUUCUGUGGAAUGGAAUUUCUCCCCAUCAAAACUGAGAGAAGGAGCCCAAGGGAAUCACUUAUGAAGAUGGGGUGGAGAUUGCUUUCCAGAAUGGAAGAUUGGCGUUGAUGUUGAUUUGCCCAUUGCCCGGGAAACUCUGCGAUCUUCCCUGGUGCUAGCGGAGCAAGAUCACAUGGAAGGCAGACUGCUUACAGAAAGGUGCCCGGGACUGCUCCUUCUAAAGCUAUAGAUGCUGAGAGGAACAGAAGGUGAAUCCUUCACCUUCCCCAAAGCUUGUUUGACAGCCAAGGGAGGAUAAGACUGGAGGAUACCACCUUGCCAG